AUGGCCUGGACCCUCCCCUGCUCACCCUCCCGACUCUCUGCAUAGGCUGUGUGGCCUCCUCUGAGCUGACUCAGCUGCCUGCAGUGUCUGUGGCUUUGGGACGUACGGCCAGGAUCAUCUGCCAGGGAGAUAGCAUAGGUGACUCUGAUACAAACUCGUACCAGCAGAAGCCAGGUCAGGUCCCUGUGCUGGUAAUUUAUGGUGACAGCAACCAGCCCUCAGUGAUUCCUGAGCAAUUUUCUGACUGCAUAUCAGAGGACAUGGCCACCUUGAUUAUUAAUGGGGCACAGGAUGGAAACAAGGCUAUUACUGUCGCUCGGAACAGCACUGCUUCUCAUCU